GCUGAUCACGCAAUAACUUUAUACUAAGGGUAUAGAAUUUGUCUUACGAACUCUGAUGCACUAAAGAUAUAUGAAUUGUCAGUAUUGCAAUGCCAGGGACAGCAACGCGGUUUGUGUUCGUUCCCUGUGUGCGGAAGGUACUGCUUUGCGCGGCGGCAGCUUUUCCCGUGAGGUGGAGCGCGGUCGGAACUCUGGGACUUCUAUUACGAUUUACGUUGUUUGCUGUGAUCUUUUUAGGAAGGAAAAUCAACCCCGGGGCUUGGGGCUGCCACGCGUCUGUGCGCGAGCAACUUCAACAUCCCCGUUACAUAGGUGAAAGUGACAGGGCGAGGAAGAGGAGGAAGAGGAUCGGAGAGGAGGGGAAGAAGGUGCCCCGUGGAGCUGUUGCCAAAUGCUGGAAGGACAUCCGAGGCUCGGCUUGCGUCAUGCUGCCGACCAACGUUAUUGACGAGGGACGGCACCUCCUUCCUACGUACAAGUAAAUGGCCAAGGAUGCCUGUAAUCCUCUUAUACUCGACGUCAUCACAUGAAGCAGAGGACAACAGCAAUCUCUUGGCGUCGUCACUAAACAUCUGCGUCUUGGAGGUCACGGCAGCUUCCUAACGGUCCCUGAGGAAAGAAGUGACGAUCAGUGCCCCUUGAACGAAGUGGACGAUGAGAAAGUGCGCGUUGAGAACUUUGAACUAACCUGAAACAGACCAGGAACAGUGAUAGGUAGUAUUAGAAAAAAAAAAUCAGUGAUCGUGAACCUGGAAGAACAAUCGUCUAAGUACCAUAAACAGAAACGUCAACCACCACCACCACCACAACAACAACAAGAGCGCCAGCAGCAUCACCAUCGUCAUC